GCCGGGCAUUUGCACGGGCUUACAGAACUUGUUUUAAAAUAUUUCAGUAUUUGGAUUUUUUUAGGGUUAAAUUUUUUAGAUUUCAAUUUUGUUUUUGCUAUUGUAUUUUAAAGGUUUGCCUUUGAUUUUAUGUUUACAAAUGUUAAUGAUUGUGUUUUCUGUUGAAAAUGACUGAUAAUAGUCGUAUCGUUUUAGGGGUUUCAAAGCUGAAUCUUAGUUCCAUCCCAAGUAUUUUAAUUUGUUGUGUCCGUCUAGAUUCAGCAGUUGGAGCUAACAGGAAAUACCCAGCUUAUCUGCUUUGAUCAUUCCCUUUUAGUCUAUUUGCUUAGUGUUUCACCAGUUUACCUUUUUGAAUACAUCAUUUAGUAUGAAGUUGUUCUUGGUUGCUUUUUAGGAAUGACGACAACAACAGCACCAUGGAUGUAGGGCGACAGUGAAAGAGGGUUGAUGACAGAAAGUACAAACAAACGCACCAGAAACAACAUGGAGGAGGAGGGUGUGGGAGGAGAGGAUAGGAUCAGCAGGUUGCCUGAACCCAUAAUUCAUCACAUUCUCACUUUGCUUCCUACCAAAUGUGCUUUUUCAACAACAAUUUUGUCUAAAGGAUGGAAUAAUCUCUGGAUAACAAGUGUCCCAGUUGAUGUUAUACCGAAGUCUGUAGAGAAGCUCUGUAAUGUAAAGCUCUUGAAGUUAUCAGAUUCUGUCUUUGAGUAUGUUAUUAGAAACUGGAGCUGGCAGGUGUUCUAUCUGCAAGUUUUCCUACCUUCAAUAAUUUGAACACUUUGGAGGUGUCUUUUAUCAAGACUCGACUAGUUAAACCAUUAUUCACCUUUCUACAGUUCUCACCAAAUUUGGAGUCACUCGUCUUCAGUGGGGUCUGUGGUGAUAAAAUUAAUGAGGACGCUUUUACAUUGGACGUAGUGCCUCAUUGUUUGUUGAUGAACCUUAAGUCAAUCAAAUUUCAAUACUUUAAAGGGCAACUGAAGGAGUUGGAUUUGGUUCAACUAUUUUUGCAGAAUGCAAGGGUUCUUCAGACGGUGAUUAUUGAAAUUUCAUCUGAUCAUUUCGUAAACUCAGAUAAGAAGAAACAUAUGUGUGAUUAAGUUAUGUUCGUUUUAGAUAUCUGGAUGCUUGCUUGCUCAUCUGAAAUCUAUAGAAUGCUUAUUUCUUUGUAUUCA